rnacentral:rRNA from 1 species
UCGAACGAGGUUAGUCUGGUAGCAAUACUGGGCUGACCUAGUGGCGAACGGGUGCGUAACACGUGACCAACCUGCCUGAAAGUGGGGGAUAGCUCGGCGAAAGCCGGAUUAAUACCGCAUGUGAUCGCAAGAUUAAAGCAGCAAUGCGCUUUUAGAGGGGGUCGCGGCCUAUCAGCUAGUUGGUGAGGUAAAGGCUUACCAAGGCAGCGACGGGUAGCUGGUCUGAGAGGACGACCAGCCACACUGGAACUGAGACACGGUCCAGACACCUACGGGUGGCAGCAGUCGAGAAUUUUUCUCAAUGGGGGAAACCCUGAAGGAGCGACGCCGCGUGGAGGAUGAAGGCUUUCGGGUUGUAAACUCCUGUCAUCUGGGAACAAAACUCGCAAGAGCUUGAUAGUACCAGAAGAGGAAGAGACGGCUAACUCUGUGCCAGCAGCCGCGGUAAUACAGAGGUCUCAAGCGUUGUUCGGAUUCAUUGGGCGUAAAGGGCGCGUAUGCGGUGGGGUAAGUCUGGUGUAAAAUCUCCGGAGCUCAACUUCGAAAUUGCACUGGAUACUGCUCUGCUA